CUGGGCCUGGCCUCACUCAAGCCCCGACGGAAGUUGGAGGGAGAGAGGAGGUGGGGGGGGCGGGGUAGGGAAUAGCGUCACGUUUCGGGCGCGCUCGGAACGACUUCGGGGAAACUCGGGUCAGUAGGACGCGGUUGGCCGUCGCGUUCUUCUUUAAAAGACACUAUUCGGAGAGCGCCCCUCCCGGCAGCAUUCGGAAACGCUCGGUUUUGCCGGUCUUUCGGGAAUGUUCGGAAGGACUCGGGGGGUAAGGCGUUGAGGGGGCGACGGCGUUCGGCCAGCGUUCGACUCUUCGUGUGCGUCCUCGCGCCUCGCCCUCGGGACAGUAUUUACCCCUCCCUACCCCGCUCGCCUCCUGUUCGGACAUUUCCGCUGCCGGCCGAUUCGGACAUUGGCGUCGGUUGAGGAGGGGUCGCCAUCUUUGUGCUACUAACCUACUCAGAAGGCGCGAGGGGAGCUGUGGGUCAGGGACGGGGGCGGUUUCCUAUCAAUCUCCGUCGUAGCCAUUUUUCUUUAUAUAUAAAGAAACUCGGGGCUUGAGUGUCCCACAAAGGAGCUCAAUGUGUGCAUAGCUCUCCCCACCAUAUCCUCGCAACAUCCUAGCAGGUCAAAAUUCAACAGGCGCGGUGCGGGGGACAGGGAGAGGCAGUGAUAAGUCUUACAGUUCAGUUAUGCAACUUGAGAACUGCAGGUUUCCCCAACCUGAUGGCCUCUAGUUGCUUCAGACUACAGCUCAACAUCUGGAGGGCUCUAAAUUUCAGAGUAUGGCAGAAACCCCUGUAAAGCCAGCAUGGAUUUUACUGUAAUUUCUCUUAUUCCAGAUGCUAAACUGUUCUGAGGACAUUGCAAGCUGAAAGAUCAACACUCCGAAACCAUUACUAUACACCUGUGCAUUUUUAUGUCAUUCUGUUGUGAAGACUCACUAAUGAUGAGUACAUCUAAGAACAUAGGAAGCUACUUCAUACUUAUCCAUCAGUUCAUCUAGCUCAGUAUAAGAGCAGGUCUCUCGGUUUUGAGGCAGGGGCUUCUCCCUGAGUCCCAAGAAAUGCCAGGGAUUGAAUCCGGGGUUUUCUGCAUGCAAAGCAAAUGCUUCACCAUUCACCCAUAGCUCAGUGGCCUGUAUUUCUUUUGUUUAACUUUUUGCCCCAUUGUAAAAGACGGAAAACAACUCACAAAGUUUAGGAAAUCUGCUUCCUGUUAAUUUUUUACUUUGGACAUUAAGUUAGUUACUAAACCGAAACCGGUACAGUACCUGCGUAAAUGAUACUGAAUACUCUCAAAAUGUGGACAAACAGUUCUUUAACUACCUGAUGCAAAGAGGAAGUCUAUUUAAAAGUUUUGAGAAGUUGUGUAAUGUGACUUUAUAUGUGUAUGUUGGCAGAAGAACAGCAUGAUUCCUGUACGUGGGUGUGGAUUGCUAGAAUAAUCAUGCUGAUGUAAUCCUGGAAAAUUUGACACAGACUAUAAAGGCUAGGGGAAUCAUGUUCAUGCUGAGUUUUUCAAGGAACACUGCCUUUUUUAUUUUUAACGUCAGCUUAUAUUGAAAUAUGUUCAGUAUUGUCUGGAAUUGUCAUCUUCACUGCAAAAAAGAGAAUUAAAUAUUAAAACCUA